GACGAACGCUGGCGGCGUGCUUAACACAUGCAAGUCGAACGGAAAGGCCCUGCUUUGUUGGGGUUCUCGAGUUGCGAACGGGUGACUAACACGUGAGUAACCUGCCCUUGACUUUAGGAUAACUUCAGAAAACUGGGUCUAAUCCCGGAUAGGAGCUCCUGCUGCAUGGUGGGGGUUGGAAAGUUUCGGCGGUUGGGGAUGGACUCGCGGCUUAUCAGCUUGUUGGUGGGGUAGUGGCUUACCAAGGCUUGGACGGGUAGCCUGCCUGAGAGGGUAACCGGCCACAUUGGGACUGAGAUAAGGCACAGCCUACUACGGGAGGCAGCAGUGGGGAAUAUUGCACAAUGGGAGGAAGCCUGAUGCAGCAAAGCAGCGUGCGGGAUGACGGCAUUCGGGUUGUAAACCGCUUUCGCUUGUGACGAAGCGUGAGUGACGGUAAUGGGUAAAGAAGCACCGGCUAACUACGUG
rnacentral:rRNA from 1 species